UGGGGGAUAGUUCAACGGCAGAACAGUGGCCUCUGAAGUCAUUAAUCUUGGUUCGAAUCCAGGUCCCCCAG
rnacentral:tRNA from 1 species